AGGGAGGGAUCAAGGCCUCCGGCGGGAGGGCCGGGGGGCGGACCCUGCGGACUCACGCCUUGUAAGGAGUGGGCUGGGGAGGCUGCCAGCUCCCCUGCUAGCUCCCCGGGGGCUGUUGGAGCAGGAAGCAGUGGGGUGGGGGUUCUGGGGUGAGAGGAGCAGGGCAGAGGAGGGGAGGAGGUGCACUUAACUAACGGGCUACCUCACGCCUUACAGAGUCAGGGAAAAGGGGAACUGACUGCCCGAGAGGCAUCCUUAGUCAGGUCUCUGAAACUUCAGCAGGAUCUGCAACUAAGACAGCUGGGGUGAAGAUGUCUUCCUGAGAGACUCGUGGAGACCCGAAUCUGGAUCCACCAGUAUCAGUAUGUGGCUGCACUCUCAGCUCAGCGACUUGCUCGGGCCAGCCCUUUCCCAUCACAGGUCUUCCAUGGCUGGGAGCUCCAUCAGCUUCUCCUGGGACUCAGGAAGAGAAUCCAACCCCCAAGGCACAGGCGUGCACAUUCCUGGCGGUUGCUAUGGAGAAAGGAUGCUGUGUCUCCAUGGAAACUAAACCCUUUGUUUAACUGAGGUUCUGGGGGUGGUUCUGACACUCACUGCUAACCAGGGGGAGUAUGGCUGUGAGGUCGUCAGCACAUGGUGCUGCUGCUAGCUGCCUCCCACACAGGCUCUGCUAGCCUGCCUUGCCAAUCUGCCAAGAGCAGGUAUAGACGUGCAACAGCCCUUCACCACUCAAGGCCAUGUGCUCCACUUGUUUGCCUGUGCCACGUGUAGCUUCCAGUUCUGGGUCCAGAUUCUUUUCUAAGUCAUAAUAUCCCAAAUUCCAGGGACCCCAGAAGAGCCUGUCUCAGGUGUUACCCCAUAAAAACCUUGAUUCCAUUAUAAAAUAACAGCAGACACAACAUCAGUCACGUCAAGGUCCCAGGAUAAGUUUUAUUCCAGUCUUUGGAAUCUGGGAGGCAGACACCAGGAAUGGCCCUGAGAAAGUCUGGGAAGCUGUCAUCUCCAGCGACAGCUAGGAUGGGCAAGACCCCAACAUAAUGUUUCUGGCUCUAGAGUUCCUCCUGGAGUGGAGCCCAGCUCCUGGCUCGGUGGCUAGGGGGCAGGGUUGAAAGUCAGGAGGGUUGCUGCUUUGGAAGAAGCCCAUCUUCUUUGUUGGGGGACACUGAGGAAGUUACUCUUUGGGAG